AAAUCGAGUCCAACCGCACUACUAUUGUGAUAUUAGGACUACCUUAAGAGCGACUAUUUUAACUUAUAGAUUCAUGAUUUACGCACCAAAAUGCACAAAAUUGUGAAGUUUCAGAGCCAAAUUGACUUGUGAAUGCUAGAGAAAUAUCAAGAUGAGUAAAUACCAUAGGCAGCGUUUAACACCGAAACAUCAAGAUUCCCAGCAUUUACUGUUCUCAAUUUUCACAGCAAAUGAUAUAAGGAAUUUGAGUGUAACGAAAAUCAGAACACCAUUAUCUUUUAACAUUCUUGGACAUCCAUUAAAGGGUGGAUUAUAUGAUCCAUCCUUAGGGGAGAAUGGGCAUGAAAGAGCUAGUAUUUUUCAAAAUAUGAAAAAGGUAUUUAAUCUGGUGUUAAUGAAGUAAAACCGGUUUCUAACUUAAGUGUACUUAUUUAUCUAUAAGAUCAAUUUAACAAAAUAAUAUUUAGUCAUUAACAGAUUUUAAUCACUUUUUUAAAGAUAAAGAAUUUGGCUCUUUUAACACAUGGCUUUGAAAAAGCCCGUUUUGUUGAGCCAGGUACUAAUAAAUUAAGCUAAUAACACAAAAUCAAAGUAUGUUAUCCUUUAGCAAAAAUUAUCUUCUUAGAAAACUAAUAAAUAUCUGAAAGAUAGAAAAUAUAAUAUUUUAAAUCAAAAACACACUUAUUACAAAAGAAAUAAAAAUUUUCUCUACUGCAACAUGAGUUAUAAAAGCCAUUGCACAACUUGCACUGAUACCAAUCUUCAUUACUUACAGAAUAAUCUUUUGAACAGACACAGUUAUUGUUGUUUCUUUCAUCACCGACUCUUUCAUAACUAUCAUAACUAUGUGUAAAAAAUUUAACCACAAAAUAUCUGAUAAACCAAAACAAACGAAAGAGUUGUAACUACGUUUUUAGUUAGGUUAGUAUAUAUAGCAUUUAAUUAAAAAAAUACUUUUCCUAAAAGCUAAUUGCAAAUAAAUGGAAAAGACAUGGAAAUUUAACUCAAAAACUUACUUUUUGUCGUAAUAAUCUUUUACCUCACUACGGCAACACUAAAAUGUCUAUGGAUGACGUAGUUUCAGUGUUGCUAUGAAAUAAAAAUAUUUUAAAAUUUUUUGCUACAAUCAGUUGGUUGAAAUGGCUCUUUCAAAACAUGGUUCUCCCACUCUCCCCUAAGAGUAUAUUGUACAUAUUAAUAUCAUUAAUCUAAUGUAUGUACAUAUACUACGUUUACGCGAGCGU